UACGUAGGGCGCAAGCGUUGUCCGGAAUUAUUGGGCGUAAAGAGCUCGUAGGCGGUCUGUCGCGUCUGUUGUGAAAACUCGAGGCUCAACCUCGGGCUUGCAGUGGAUACGGGCAGACUAGAGUGCGGUAGGGGAGACUGGAAUUCCUGGUGUAGCGGUGGAAUGCGCAGAUAUCAGGAGGAACACCGAUGGCGAAGGCAGGUCUCGUGGGCCGCAACUGACGCUGAGGAGCGAAAGCAUGGGGAGCGAACAGG
rnacentral:rRNA from 1 species